rnacentral:rRNA from 1 species
CGUUUAGGGGUAAACCUGAGAAACCCGAAAGGUCGAAGGAAGAAAUUCAUUUGCGUCUCGCUCGCGGAGGGCGGGCGAAUCGAGAUACGUGUAUGUCUUGUACGUACGGCGUUCCGUUCGCUUUGUCGAGUCCGCGGCGAACGCUUGCACUUUUCUUCUGGUAGGACGUCGCGAUCCGUCGGGCGUCGGUCUACGGUCGGCGAUGAAGCCCGUUCCGCACUCGUUGCGGGAAGGACUCGCCUGUACCCGGCCGGCUCGCUCGACGGUAUCUUAUAAGGUUCGGGGUCGCUGCUUUUCGGAGCGUUCGGCUCGCGGCAAGCGCGCCAGUCGCGUCGAUUAUCGGACCUAGUGCCGAUUCCGACCUCUGGUGACUGUUGGCCGCGAAGUUCUCGAACAGACCGUCAACCGAUCUGCGACGCUAUAGCUUUGGGUACUUUCAGGACCCGUCUUGAAACACGGACCAAGGAGUCUAGCAUGUACGCGAGUCAUUGGGAAUCACUAAACCUAAAGGCGUAAUGAAAGUGAAGGUCGUUCCUUAGCGUCGACCGAGGGAAGAGGUUCGUUCGAUUUCGGUCGGCGUUCCGCAUUCCCGGGGCGUCUCGUUCUCAUCGCGAGAUGAGGCGCACCAAGAGCGUACACGCUGGGACCCGAAAGAUGGUGAACUAUGCCUGGUCAGGACGAAGUCAGGGGAAACCCUGAUGGAGGUCCGUAGCGAUUCUGACGUGCAAAUCGAUCGUCGGAACUGGGUAUAGGGGCGAAAGACUAAUCGAACCAUC